UAUCCACACAUAAAGCUCCACGGGGGCCAGGACUGGUGUUAGGCACCUAGUACCCAGUCAAUAAACAUUUGUUAAAUGAAUGAACAGAUGGAUGACCAACCUCCUUGGACCAUCUGGGCCAUGUUCCCAAAGACUUCCUCUUGACGGCCAAGUUCUGGCUCCGUACCACUGAGAGGCCUGCAGGGUUACCAAGAUGGGAGAAUUGAACACUGUGCCAAGCGCCAUCAGACAUUUGUAAAGCCCUCAGCCAAAAAUGUUAUUGGAAACAGGAUGUGUGUCUGUGCAGUAUGUGUUCAGGCCUAGAAGUAGAAGUCCAUGAGCUCGUCGAGGGCCUCCGGAGAUAUUUGGAACCUGAAACUGCAAACGCACUGAUUCCAGAGUCCUGAAAGGCAGCUGAAAAUUCCAAAUAGAUGUCUGCUGAAGUAUCUACCAUACGCUAAUGAGGAAACCGACCUGGGCAGUCUGGCUCCAGAAUGCAUUCUCCUAAUGGCAUGCAGCCCUGUCCCUCUUAACUCCCACAAUGCCUUUCACGGAGCUCAGCACAGGCAUAAGGAUAGCCUGUGACUCCAGGAACGGACAUCCUCCCAUUCUGGGUGCAAAUCUCCUUUCUGGGAUGCUUUCCAUCAUGCAGCAGAAAGAAACUUGCUUCUUGUCAGAAUACCACUUCCUUCAAUCCUUCCACUUCACCAAAUCCCACCCAAUGAUCAGGCACCAAGGAUGGGAUAAAGUGGAUCAGAGGCGUGAGUUGGCCUGGGCAAGACCUGAAGAAGUGGGGGCGUGGGGGAACGGGUCGCAGAACUCAGAGCAGACUGUGAAACAGUCCAAGCCACCCCCAGCAGGACAAUGAGAAGACAGAUAUCAUCUGUAGACAAUGCUUAUAGUAAUAUGCAAGAGGAGAGAGAUAAAUUAAAGAAAUGACCAUCAAACAAAAAGGAGACAGACCUUGAUAGUUUUGGAAGUUGCCCAUAUCUCCAGAUGUUUCCAUCUUGCUCUCUUCUCGUCCACUCUUGGAAGUUAAGCUACUCUGUGGUGAGGGUCCUGAAGCAAUCCUGUGGAAAAGUACUGAUGGCAAGGAACUGAAGUCUUCUGCCAAUACCCAUAACCAAUGUGCCAGUGACACAAAUGACCCAUUUUGAAACUAAAUCCUCCCACGCUGGUCAAGCCUUUAGAGGACUACCAACCUCAGCUGACAUCAUGACUGCAACCUCAUGAGAGACACCAAUCCAGGAACCACUCAGCUAAACUCCUAAAUUUCCAACCUAUGGAAGCUGUGAGAGAAUAAACAU